rnacentral:rRNA from 1 species
CGGGACACGUGGUAUCCUGUCUGAAUAUGGGGGGACCAUCCUCCAAGGCUAAAUACUCCUGACUGACCGAUAGUGAACCAGUACCGUGAGGGAAAGGCGAAAAGAACCCCGGCGAGGGGAGUGAAAAAGAACCUGAAACCGUGUACGUACAAGCAGUGGGAGCACGCUUAGGCGUGUGACUGCGUACCUUUUGUAUAAUGGGUCAGCGACUUAUAUUCUGUAGCAAGGUUAACCGAAUAGGGGAGCCGAAGGGAAACCGAGUCUUAACUGGGCGUUAAGUUGCAGGGUAUAGACCCGAAACCCGGUGAUCUAGCCAUGGGCAGGUUGAAGGUUGGGUAACACUAACUGGAGGACCGAACCGACUAAUGUUGAAAAAUUAGCGGAUGACUUGUGGCUGGGGGUGAAAGGCCAAUCAAACCGGGAGAUAGCUGGUUCUCCCCGAAAGCUAUUUAGGUAGCGCCUCGUGAAUUCAUCUCCGGGGGUAGAGCACUGUUUCGGCAAGGGGGUCAUCCCGACUUACCAACCCGAUGCAAACUGCGAAUACCGGAGAAUGUUAUCACGGGAGACACACGGCGGGUGCUAACGUCCGUCGUGAAGAGGGAAACAACCCAGACCGCCAGCUAAGGUCCCAAAGUCAUGGUUAAGUGGGAAACGAUGUGGGAAGGCCCAGACAGCCAGGAUGUUGGCUUAGAAGCAGCCAUCAUUUAAAGAAAGCGUAAUAGCUCACUGGUCGAGUCGGCCUGCGCGGAAGAUGUAACGGGGCUAAACCAUGCACCGAAGCUGCGGCAGCGACGCUGAUGCGUUGUUGGGUAGGGGAGCGUUCUGUAAGCCUGUGAAGGUGUGCUGUGAGGCAUGCUGGAGGUAUCAGAAGUGCGAAUGCUGACAUAAGUAACGAUAAAGCGGGUGAAAAGCCCGCUCGCCGGAAGACCAAGGGUUCCUGUCCAACGUUAAUCGGGGCAGGGUGAGUCGACCCCUAAGGCGAGGCCGAAAGGCGUAGUCGAUGGGAAACAGGUUAAUAUUCCUGUACUUGGUGUUACUGCGAAGGGGGGACGGAGAAGGCUAUGUUGGCCGGGCGACGGUUGUCCCGGUUUAAGCGUGUAGGCUGGUUUUCCAGGCAAAUCCGGAAAAUCAAGGCUGAGGCGUGAUGACGAGGCACUACGGUGCUGAAGCAACAAAUGCCCUGCUUCCAGGAAAAGCCUCUAAGCAUCAGGUAACAUCAAAUCGUACCCCAAACCGACACAGGUGGUCAGGUAGAGAAUACCAAGGCGCUUGAGAGAACUCGGGUGAAGGAACUAGGCAAAAUGGUGCCGUAACUUCGGGAGAAGGCACGCUGAUAUGUAGGUGAAGCGACUUGCUCGUGGAGCUGAAAUCAGUCGAAGAUACCAGCUGGCUGCAACUGUUUAUUAAAAACACAGCACUGUGCAAACACGAAAGUGGACGUAUACGGUGUGACGCCUGCCCGGUGCCGGAAGGUUAAUUGAUGGGGUCAGCGCAAGCGAAGCUCUUGAUCGAAGCCCCGGUAAACGGCGGCCGUAACUAUAACGGUCCUAAGGUAGCGAAAUUCCUUGUCGGGUAAGUUCCGACCUGCACGAAUGGCGUAAUGAUGGCCAGGCUGUCUCCACCCGAGACUCAGUGAAAUUGAACUCGCUGUGAAGAUGCAGUGUACCCGCGGCAAGACGGAAAGACCCCGUGAACCUUUACUAUAGCUUGACACUGAACAUUGAGCCUUGAUGUGUAGGAUAGGUGGGAGGCUUUGAAGUGUGGACGCCAGUCUGCAUGGAGCCGGCCUUGAAAUACCACCCUUUAAUGUUUGAUGUUCUAACGUUGACCCGUGAUCCGGGUUGCGGACAGUGUCUGGUGGGUAGUUUGACUGGGGCGGUCUCCUCCUAAAGAGUAACGGAGGAGCACGAAGGUUGGCUAAUCCUGGUCGGACAUCAGGAGGUUAGUGCAAUGGCAUAAGCCAGCUUGACUGCGAGCGUGACGGCGCGAGCAGGUGCGAAAGCAGGUCAUAGUGAUCCGGUGGUUCUGAAUGGAAGGGCCAUCGCUCAACGGAUAAAAGGUACUCCGGGGAUAACAGGCUGAUACCGCCCAAGAGUUCAUAUCGACGGCGGUGUUUGGCACCUCGAUGUCGGCUCAUCACAUCCUGGGGCUGAAGUAGGUCCCAAGGGUAUGGCUGUUCGCCAUUUAAAGUGGU